rnacentral:rRNA from 1 species
UACGUAGGGGGCAAGCGUUGUCCGGAUUUACUGGGCGUAAAGAGCGUGUAGGCGGCCAAACAGGUCCGUUGUGAAAACUGGAGGCUCAACCUCCAGACGUCGACGGAAACCGUGUGGCUAGAGUCCGGAAGAGGAGACUGGAAUUCAUGGUGUAGCAGUGAAAUGCGUAGAGAUCAUGAGGAAGACCAGUGGCGAAGGCGGGUCUCUGGACAGUUCCUGACACUGAGACACGAAGGCCAGGGGAGCAAACGGG